rnacentral:rRNA from 1 species
AGAAUCAACGCUGGCGGCGUGCCUAACACAUGCAAGUCGAACGAGAAAGUGGAGCAAUCCAUGAGUAAAGUGGCGCACGGGUGAGUAACACGUGACUAACCUACCCUUGAGUGGGGGAUAACCUAGAGAAAUCUGGGCUAAUACCGCAUAAUACCUUCGGGUCAAAGGAGCAAUUCGCUUAAGGAGGGGGUCGCGGCCGAUUAGUUAGUUGGCGGGGUAAUGGCCCACCAAGACUAUGAUCGGUAUCCGGCCUGAGAGGGCGCACGGACACACUGGAACUGAAACACGGUCCAGACUCCUACGGGAGGCAGCAGUGGGGAAUUUGCGCAAUGGGGGAACCCUGACGCAGCAACGCCGCGUGGAGGAUGAAGUCCCUUGGGACGUAAACUCCUUUCGAUCGGGACGAUAAUGACGGUACCGAGAGAAGAAGCCCCGGCUAACUUCGUGCCAGCAGCCGC